rnacentral:rRNA from 1 species
GGACUACUGGGGUAUCUAAUCCCGUUCGCUCCCCUGGCUUUCGCCCCUGAGCGUCAGGAACCAUCCAGGACAGUGCCUUCGCCUUUGGUGUUCCUCCGAAUAUCUACGCAUUUCACCACUCCACUCGGAAUUCCCUGUCCCUCUCUGGCCCUCAAGUCAGCCCGUUUUUGAGACGCUCGGUCAGGUAGGCCGACCGCUGUCACCUCAAACGCUGCUGACCGCCUGCGGGCGCUUUACGCCCAGUCACUCCGGACAACGCUUGCCCCCUACGUAUUACCGCGGCUGCUGGCAC